AUUCUGGUUCAUGAUGAAUAAUCCAAGUUUCAUCACCGGCUAUGGACCUUUGAAAGAAAAUUUUCUCUCUCACUGAAUUCAAAGAGUUCAGUACAGCAUUGUUUUGGUACCCAACUGACACACACUUGAGAAUAUCUAUGAUACUCAAUAAUGUAAUGAGUACUACCAUGGCUAACUCCAACCUCUAAUGCCAAUUCAGCUCUAAUAAAAGCAUCUGCUUUUUACCUCUUGGCAAAGUUGUGUCAGUUGAUGGGUGGCUUCUACGAAGCAUGUCUGCUAAGCUUGGAUUUCACCAAUUCUUUUUGCUCUGUUGAAUUCUCAUUCAGACAGCAGGCCUAUCUCCACACGUUGCUGUAGUCUAAAGUUUUAUCUUUGUAAGCAUUUUUCAGUCUUUUGUGAAUGUUUACUAGAUUUUUCUCCUUCGGCAUCAAGGAACUCAAUUACGGACUUGAAGUAGGAAAACCAUUUUGAUAUUAGCUCAUGUAUUCAUAAUUCUAAAAGAAAAAAAUAACAACUAGAUAAUUAACUAUCUGUGCCUUUACCAAAUACCAAAAGAUUUCAUUGAAAAAUGCGCCGCUAAUGAUAAAAGUGAAACACCAUACCACUUGUGUGAACAAUCAUUCCCGCUAUGCCGCUUUCUGCACCAUCUACAAACCCAUCAACAUCAAAGG